ACGUUCGGGUAAUCGCUGUUAUUCGAUCCAAUCGAAUGGCAGAGGAAAGUCCAUGCUCGCACGGUGCUGAGAUGCCCGUAGUGUUCGUGCCUAGCGAAACAAUAAGCUAGGGCAGCUCGGUUCAUUCUGGGCUGACGGCUGGAAACGGGUCUACGUCCUUUUGGAUAUGACCUUAGUACCUAUAAAAGUGCCACAGUGACGGAGCCUUAUAAGAAAUUAUAAGGGUGGAACGAGGUAAACCCCGCGAGCGAGAAACCCAAAUGAUGGUAGGGGCACUUUCCCUGGGGAAAUGAACCUAAGGGAGAGGUGGAGAAUUCGUUCUCUGCAGAUAGAUGAUUACCGCCAGUGUACGAGACUUUGGUCGCUUGAAGUACAUUGGAACAGAACAUGGCUUACAGAA
rnacentral:RNase_P_RNA from 1 species